rnacentral:tRNA from 1 species
GGGUGGUUAGCUCAGUUGGUUAGAGCAUCUCGUUUACACCGAGAGGGUCGGGGGUUCGAGUCCCUCACUACCCA